GCAUAUCAAAUAAGCGGAGGAAAAAGAAACUAACAAGGAUUCCCCCUAGUAACUGCGAGUGAAGCGGGAAAAGCUCAAAUUUAAAAUCUGGCAGCUUUUAGCUGUCCGAAUUGUAGUCUGGAGAAGCGCUUUCCGCGCUGGACCGUGUAUAAGUCUCUUGGAACAGAGCGUCGUAGAGGGUGAGAAUCCCGUCUUUGACACGGACUGCCAGUGCUUUGUGAUGCGCUCUCAAAGAGUCGAGUUGUUUGGGAAUGCAGCUCAAAAUGGGUGGUAAAUUCCAUCUAAAGCUAAAUAUUGGCGAGAGACCGAUAGCGAACAAGUACCGUGAGGGAAAGAUGAAAAGCACUUUGGAAAGAGAGUUAAACAGUACGUGAAAUUGCUGAAAGGGAAACGCUUGAAGUCAGUCGCGUCGCUCAGAACUCAGCCUGGCCUUGGCCAGGUGCAUUUUCUGGGCGACGGGCCAGCAUCAAUUUCGACCGCUGGAUAAAGGUUGGGGGAAUGUGGCACCUUCGGGUGUGUUAUAGCCCCCAGCUGCAUACAGCGGUUGGGAUUGAGGAACUCAGCACGCCUUUAUGGUCGGGGUUCGCCCACGUUCGUGCUUAGGAUGCUGGCGUAAUGGCUUUAAACGACCCGUCUUGAAACACGGACCAAGGAGUCUAACAUGCCUGCGAGUGUUUGGGUGGAAAACCCGAGCGCACAAUGAAAGUGAAAGUUGGGACCUCUGUCGUGGAGGGCACCGACGCCCGGACCAGACCUUCUGUGACGGAUCCGCGGUAGAGCAUGUAUGUUGGGACCCGAAAGAUGGUGAACUAUGCCUGAAUAGGGUGAAGCCAGAGGAAACUCUGGUGGAGGCUCGUAGCGAUUCUGACGUGCAAAUCGAUCGUCAAAUUUGGGUAUAGGGGGCGAAAGACUAAAUCGAACCCAUCUAGUAGCUGGUUCUGCGAG
rnacentral:rRNA from 1 species